AGUACAGUGAUACCUCAGUUUACGAAUGCUUCCGCUUCCGAACUUUUCGCCUCACAAACAUUAAAUUCGCGAGCAUAUAGUCUCGGUGGACGAACUAGUUUUCGGCGGACGAACACACCACGCGAUCGAGCAGUGCCACGGUGGCGGCCACUAGAAGCUGACGCACGCUCAACUGCGUCCCAUUUCGUCACCCCCUUUCUUCGAGUGAGGACGUGAUUUGUUUGAGCGACAUUUUGGACCAUAUAGAGUGCACGUUUGCGAUUAUGGGACCGAAAAAGACCCCACCACAAGUUAGUGUUAAGCCGAAGAAGACGAAAAUUAUGAUCGAGCAGAAGAAGGACAUAAUCGAAAAACACGAACGAAGUGUGCGUUUGCGUGACUUAGCAUCACAUACAGUGUGGUGCCUCAUUGUCG